AAGUCAUUUCAUAGAGGGCCUGUGAGUCUACGAAACCAAGAGCUCUUAACACUGUGACCAAAGAUUGAAGUUCUCCAUAGGAUACCACAGUCACUCAAAAAUGUCAUGUUAUCCUACGAAGAUAUAAGA